GAGUUUGAUCCUGGCUCAGGAUGAACGCUAGCGGCAGGCUUAACACAUCCAUUUCGAGGGGUAGAAGCAGCUUGCUGCUUUGAGACCGGCGCAUGGGUGCGUAACGCGUAUACAAUCUACCUUUUACAGAGGGAUAGCCCAGAGAAAUUUGGAUUAAUACCUCAUAGUAUUUUCGAAUCGCAUGAUUUGAUUAUUAAAGUUCCAACGGUAAAAGAUGAGUAUGCGUCCCAUUAGCUAGAUGGUAAGGUAACGGCUUACCAUGGCAACGAUGGGUAGGGGUCCUGAGAGGGAGAUCCCCCACACUGGUACUGAGACACGGACCAGACUCCUACGGGAGGCAGCAGUGAGGAAUAUUGGACAAUGGGCGCAAGCCUGAUCCAGCCAUGCCGCGUGCAGGAAGACGGUCCUAUGGAUUGUAAACUGCUUUUAUACAGGAAGAAACACACCCUCGUGAGGGUACUUGACGGUACUGUAUGAAUAAGCAUCGGCUAACUCCGUGCCAGCAGCCGCGGUAAUACGGAGGAUGCAAGCGUUAUCCGGAAUCAUUGGGUUUAAAGGGUCCGUAGGCGGCCAAAUAAGUCAGUGGUGAAAGCCCAUCGCUCAACGAUGGAACGGCCAUUGAUACUGUUUGGCUUGAAUUAUUAGGAAGUAACUAGAAUAUGUAGUGUAGCGGUGAAAUGCUUAGAGAUUACAUGGAAUACCAAUUGCGAAGGCAGGUUACUACUAAUAUAUUGACGCUGAUGGACGAAAGCGUGGGGAGCGAACAGGAUUAGAUACCCUGGUAGUCCACGCCGUAAACGAUGGAUACUAGCUGUUCGGAGCAAUCUGAGUGGCUAAGCGAAAGUGAUAAGUAUCCCACCUGGGGAGUACGUUCGNCAGAAAUGAACUCNAAGGAAUUGACGGGGGCCCGCACAAGCGGUGGAGCAUGUGGUUUAAU
rnacentral:rRNA from 1 species